AGAGUUUGAUCCUGGCUCAGGAUAAACUCUGACAGAAUGCUUAACACAUGCAAGUCUAUGAGGAAGUUUAGCUUGCUAAAUGGACUCAUGGCGGACGGGUGAGUAACGCGUAAAGAACUUGCCCUUUAGACUGGGAUAACAGAGGGAAACUUCUGAUAAUACUGGAUAAGUUAGUAUAUCGCAUGAUAUACAAAUGAAAGCUACGGCACUAAAGGAGAGCUUUGCGUCCUAUUAGCUAGUUGGUAAGGUAAGAGCUUACCAAGGCGAUGAUAGGUAGCCGGCCUGAGAGGGUGGACGGCCACAAGGGGACUGAGAUACGGCCCUUACUCCUACGGGAGGCAGCAGUGGGGAAUAUUGGACAAUGGUGGGAACUCUGAUCCAGCAAUUCUGUGUGUGUGAAGAAGGUUUUAGGACUGUAAAACACUUUUAGUAGGGAAGAAAAAAAUGACGGUACCUACAGAAGAAGCAACGGCUAAAUACGUGCCUGCAGCCGCGGUAAUACGUAUGUUGCGAGCGUUAUCCGGAAUUAUUGGGCUUAAGGGCAUCUAGGCGGUAAGACAAGUUGAAGGUGAAAACCUGUGGCUCAGCCAUAGGCUUGCCUACAAAACUGUUGAACUAGAGUACUGGAAAGGUGGGUGGAACUACACGAGUAGAGGUGAAAUUCGUAGAUAUGUGUAGGAAUGCCGAUGAUGAAGAUAACUCACUGGACAGAAACUGACGCUGAAGUGCGAAAGCUAGGGGAGCAAACAGGAUUAGAUACCCUGGUAGUCCUAGCUGUAAACGAUGAUCACUGGGUGUGGGGAUGCGAAGUCUCUGUGCCGAAGCAAAAGCGAUAAGUGAUCCGCCUGGGGAGUACGUUCGCAAGAAUGAAACUUAAAGGAAUUGACGG
rnacentral:rRNA from 1 species